UGAUCCUGGCUCAGGACGAACGCUGGCGGCGCGCCUAACACAUGCAAGUCGAACGGAGCUGAGAGGAGCUUGCUUUUCUUAGCUUAGUGGCGAACGGGUGAGUAACGCGUGAGUAACCUGCCCUGGAGUGGGGGACAACAGUUGGAAACGACUGCUAAUACCGCAUAAGCCCACGGUACCGCAUGGUACUGAGGGAAAAGGAUUUAUUCGCUUCAGGAUGGACUCGCGUCCAAUUAGCUAGUUGGUGAGGUAACGGCCCACCAAGGCGACGAUUGGUAGCCGGACUGAGAGGUUGAACGGCCACAUUGGGACUGAGACACGGCCCAGACUCCUACGGGAGGCAGCAGUGGGGGAUAUUGCACAAUGGGGGAAACCCUGAUGCAGCGACGCCGCGUGGAGGAAGAAGGUUUUCGGAUUGUAAACUCCUGUCGUUAGGGAAGAUAAUGACGGUACCUAACAAGAAAGCACCGGCUAACUACGUGCCAGCAGCCGCGGUAAAACGUAGGGUACAAGCGUUGUCCGGAAUUACUGGGUGUAAAGGGAGCGCAGGCGGACCGGCAAGUUGGAAGUGAAAUCUAUGGGCUCAACCCAUAAAUUGCUUUCAAAACUGCUGGCCUUGAGUAGUGCAGAGGUAGGCGGAAUUCCCGGUGUAGCGGUGGAAUGCGUAGAUAUCGGGAGGAACACCAGUGGCGAAGGCGGCCUACUGGGCACCAACUGACGCUGAGGCUCGAAAGUGUGGGUAGCAAACAGGAUUAGAUACCCUGGUAGUCCACACCGUAAACGAUGAUUACUAGGUGUUGGAGGAUUGACCCCUUCAGUGCCGCAGUUAACACAAUAAGUAAUCCACCUGGGGAGUACGACCGCAAGGUUG
rnacentral:rRNA from 1 species